CGAACGCUGGCGGCGUGCUUAACACAUGCAAGUCGAACGGAAAGGCCCUGCUUUUGUGGGGUGCUCGAGUGGCGAACGGGUGAGUAACACGCGAGUAACCUGCCCUUGACUUUGGGAUAACUUCAGGAAACUGGGGCUAAUACCGGAUAGGAGCUCCUGCUGCAUGGUGGGGGUUGGAAAGUUUCGGCGGUUGGGGAUGGACUCGCGGCUUAUCAGCUUGUUGGUGGGGUAGUGGCUUACCAAGGCUUUGACGGGUAGCCGGCCUGAGAGGGUGACCGGCCACAUUGGGACUGAGAUACGGCCCAGACUCCUACGGGAGGCAGCAGUGGGGAAUAUUGCACAAUGGGCGGAAGCCUGAUGCAGCAACGCCGCGUGCGGGAUGACGGCCUUCGGGUUGUAAACCGCUUUCGCCUGUGACGAAGCGUGAGUGACGGUAAUGGGUAAAGAAGCACCGGCUAACUACGUGCCAGCAGCCGCGGUGAUACGUAGGGUGCGAGCGUUGUCCGGAUUUAUUGGGCGUAAAGGGCUCGUAGGUGGUUGAUCGCGUCGGAAGUGUAAUCUUGGGGCUUAACCCUGAGCGUGCUUUCGAUACGGGUUGACUUGAGGAAGGUAGGGGAGAAUGGAAUUCCUGGUGGAGCGGUGGAAUGCGCAGAUAUCAGGAGGAACACCAGUGGCGAAGGCGGUUCUCUGGGCCUUUCCUGACGCUGAGGAGCGAAAGCGUGGGGAGCGAACAGGCUUAGAUACCCUGGUAGUCCACGCUGUAAACGGUGGGUACUAGGUGUGGGGUCCAUUCCACGGGUUCCGUGCCGUAGCUAACGCUUUAAGUACCCCGCCUGGGGAGUACGGCCGCAAGGCUAAAACUCAAAGGAAUUGACGGGGCCCCGCACAAGCGGCGGAGCAUGCGGAUUAAUUCGAUGCAACGCGUAGAACCUUACCUGGGUUUGACAUGGAUCGGGAGUGCUCAGAGAUGGGUGUGCCUCUUUUGGGGUCGGUUCACAGGUGGUGCAUGGCUGUCGUCAGCUCGUGUCGUGAGAUGUUGGGUUAAGUCCCGCAACGAGCGCAACCCUUGUUCACUGUUGCCAGCACGUUAUGGUGGGGACUCAGUGGAGACCGCCGGGGUCAACUCGGAGGAAGGUGGGGAUGACGUCAAGUCAUCAUGCCCCUUAUGUCCAGGGCUUCACGCAUGCUACAAUGGCUGGUACAGAGAGUGGCGAGCCUGUGAGGGUGAGCGAAUCUCGGAAAGCCGGUCUCAGUUCGGAUUGGGGUCUGCAACUCGACCUCAUGAAGUCGGAGUCGCUAGUAAUCGCAGAUCAGCAACGCUGCGGUGAAUACGUUCCCGGGGCUUGUACACACCGCCCGUCAAGUCAUGAAAGUUGGUAACACCCGAAGCCGGUGGCCUACCCGAUGUGGGGGAGCCGUCGAAGGUGGGACUGGUG
rnacentral:rRNA from 1 species